rnacentral:misc_RNA from 1 species
UUCGAUGGAUGAAGGAUGAAUUCGUCUAUUGAUCCAUUCGAAACGUGGUCGAAAUGUUCCUUCAGAAAUUUUCUGUUGAAUUUAAUAACUCGCCUCUUAUAUUCAUACAAUUUGCCCAUUAUAUUUCCUUUCUCUAGAUUGCCGACACUGAGUAGGCGGCAAAGUGUUUCAUACGAAAUGUUCGAAAAUUACUUAAAAUCGUUCCAUAAAUGUGAUAUUAUCGAAAUUCUACGCCAUGAUGAUAAUUCCAAACAUUUUUCUUUGAAUAUAGAUUUUUUAGUCCUUUAUGAACAUCAAUCAGAUUUAGUGGUCACCUUAUUGAAUGAUCCAGAAAAAUGUUUACAAGACUGGGAGAAGGCAACUUUGUUGGCACAGAUGACUGUGUUGAAGGAAGCCGAUCAAAAUUCACAACUGAAGAACUUUGUUCACUGCCGUAUAUAUAACUUACCUUUUUGGCCUGCUGUUAGACGAUCUAUUUUUCCAAGCAAUGGUGAUGCUGGAAAAUUUUUACAAAUAUCCGGUACUGUUAUGAAAAUCACUACCCCAAAACUUCUGGAAUACCAGCGAAGUUACGUUUGUGUUAAAUGUAAAAGACCAACAUUGGUUAAAGCUGAAUAUGAUAGAAAAUACAUAAUAAAGCAACCAAAGAAGUGUGAUAAUCCAGAGGUAUGUUCUGGUACCAAUCUGGUGCAUUUUGGUGAAUUAGACAGUGAAAACUGUAAAGAUUAUCAAGAAAUAAAAAUACAAGAACAGGUAAAAAAAUUAGGAGUUAGUUCCAUGCCAAAUACAAUUUGGGUAACCCUUGAAGAUGACUUGGUUGAUAGCUGUAAACCUGGAGACAACGUAACAAUUUGUGGUAUAGUCAAAAGAAGAUGGGGUGAAUUUGAUAAAGGAAGAAAAAUUGAUAUUGACCUUGUUUUUAAAGCAAACCAUGUCCAGAUUGAUAACAGUAAUAGUGCUAUAUCUGCUUCAACACCUGAAGUUAAAGAAAUGUUCAAAUCUUUCUGGGAGAAAUAUGCAGAUAAUUCGUUAGAAGGAAGAGACUCAAUUUUGAAAUCAUUUUGUCCGCAGAUUUAUGGAUUAUAUUUAGUUAAAUUGGCCAUAGCCGUAGUUCUGGCAGGUGGUAGUCACAUUGAAGAUAUGAGUACAUCUACAGGUGUUCGAACAAGAUCUGAACCCCAUCUCAUACUAGUUGGUGACCCUGGAACAGGAAAAUCACAGUUACUAAGAUUUGCUUCUAAAAUAAUUCCCCGGUCAGUCCUUACAACAGGAGUCGGAUCCACUGCAGCUGGAUUAACAGUUACAGCUACUAUGGAACAUGGAGAAUGGCAACUUGAAGGAGGAGCACUGGUAAUGGCUGACGGUGGAAUUUGUUGUAUCGAUGAGUUUAAUUCAAUGAAAGAACAUGAUCGUACAUGCAUACAUGAAGCCAUGGAACAACAAACCAUAAGUGUGGCUAAGGCAAGUAUGGUGUGUAAACUCAAUACAAGAUGUUCCAUAUUAGCUGCUUGCAAUCCCAAGGGGAACUUGGACCCUUCUCAGCCCUUAGGCAUGAACAUAGCUCUGCCAAGUCCUCUUUUGAGCCGCUUUGAUCUUAUUUUGUUGCUAAGAGAUACUGUUAAUCAGGAAUGGGAUGAUCGCAUUGCUGAAUAUAUAUUAAAUGGGGGUGGUAACUUUUCUAAGCUUACUGAUGGAGGAUUAUGGUCACUAGAUAUUUUGCAGACAUACUUUGUUACUAUAAAAAAACUACACCCCAAACUGUCUAAGGAUGCUGAAGUUAUUUUAGGAACUUAUUAUCAAAUGCAACGAAGAAUAGAUACCAGAAACAAAGCAAGAACCACUGUAAGAUUAUUGGAGAGCUUGUUCAUAUCCCACAAGUUUCUGACGGUUCCUCAAAGUCAUGGAUAGGAAGAAAUAUAAAUAUAAUCGAGUAAGAGUUCCUCCCAUUACUGAACUUCCGACUAUAGUAGUUGACAGCCCUCACGAAAAAUUGUCAUACGCAGAAGAAGAAACCGACUUCAUAGACGAACAUUUAGGAAUGGCUGAUCGAAAGGAUAUCGAGGAUGAACAAGGCGAGGACACUCGGUCUGAAAUAGAGAAACGCCAAGAUGCUUUGGGAAGAAGGAACAGCAUAUCGUUGCCAAAUUUAGACGACAUGAAAAUGUUCACAUCAACCGUGGACAUGCAAGAUUUUGAGAGAAGCGGUGAAGUUCUGAACACACCAACAGAAGAUGAUGAAGAGUUUCAAUAUAUCAGGUGAG